rnacentral:rRNA from 1 species
AACGAACGCUGGCGGCAGGCCUAAUACAUGCAAGUCGAACGGAUGUAGCAAUACAUUAGUGGCGCACGGGUGCCUAACGCGUGGGAACAUACCCUUGAGUAAGGAAUAAUGUCUGGAAACGGACACUAAUACCUUAUAAUGACUUCGGUCCAAAGAUUUAUCGCUCAAGGAUUGGCCCGCGUCUGAUUAGCUAGUUGGUGAGGUAACGGCUCACCAAGGCGACGAUCAGUAGCUGGUCUGAGAGGAUGAUCAGCCACACUGGGACUGAGACACGGCCCAGACUCCUACGGGAGGCAGCAGUAAGGAAUAUUGGACAAUGGGGGUAACCCUGAUCCAGCCAUGCCGCGUGAGUGAAGAAGGCCUUAGGGUUGUAAAGCUCUUUCAAUAGUGAAGAUAAUGACGGUAGCUAUAGAAGAAGCCCCGGCUAAAUUCGUGCCAGCAGCCGCGGUAA